rnacentral:rRNA from 1 species
UACGGAGGGUGCAAGCGUUAUUCGGAUUUAUUGGGCGUAAAGAGCGUGUAGGUGGUUGGGAUAGUCAGACGUGAAAGCCUUCUGCUCAACAGAAGAAGUACGUCUGAAACUGCCCAACUUGAGUACGAGAGAGGAAAGUGGAAUUCCCAGUGUAGAGGUGAAAUUCGUAGAUAUUGGGAGGAACACCUGUGGCGAAGGCGACUUUCUGGAUCGAUACUGACGCUGAGACGCGAAAGCGUGGGGAGCAAACAGGAUUAGAUACCCCCGUA